rnacentral:ncRNA from 2 species
CAACGAAAUAAAUCUCUUUCGGGAUUUGUGAAAUGCCCUGCGGGCGUGAAAUACGCCUGCAGCGUGUGAAAUCGCUG